rnacentral:lncRNA from 1 species
AAGGGCGCCGUGACACCACAUCCCAGGGACCCUUUCUGUUGCCGCGGUUGUCAUCCUCUCGUUUUGCUCCCAGCUGCAGGUGCCACAUGAGGCGCCCUUCCCUUCCUGAAGCUCUUGCUCUCUCGGCUUCCAUGAGACCCCCGCCCCUCCUAGCUGGCCUCCAAGGUCUGCUUCUUCGUGAGCUCCUUUGUCAGCUCCUCCUAUUCCACCCAACUUGAAAUGUCAAUAUUUCUUAGUAACUAGACCUGAAUUUCCUAUUCUCUUUUUCCUGUCUAGGGCCUCUCAUUUAUUCUCCUGGUUUUAAGUGUCGCAUGUCAGCUCCUAGAUUUGUAAACCCAAACCUGAGUUCUGAAAUCCGGACUUCUCAACUAGCAGGUGGCGGUGGUUUAGUUGGAACUCCUGGAACUACAGAAGCUAAUUUGUGUUCUAGUUUGGUGGAUGUUCAUGUUCUGGGUGCUUUUUAUCAGCUCAGAUGAUUCCCAAUUCAGCAGGAGCUGAAAGCAGAAUGCUCCAGGCUAUGGAAAAUGAAAACUACUCUGGGCUGGGCCACUCACCACCUCAGGGAAGCUUUGGGCAACACGCUCAAUUUAGAGAAACAAGGUAAACCCUCCUUGAGGUGAACUUGAGGUUGAGAUGCAUUUCAAGUUGAGGUCUCUGACCUAAUUGACCUUGAAAGCGUCUUCACAGCAAAGGAAACCAUAAACAAAAUGAAAAGACAGCCCACAGAACGGGAGAAAAUAAUUGUAAAUGAAGCAACCAACAAGGAAUUAAUUUCCAAAAUAUAC